ACCAAGCACAUAUUCCUCAAGAGGCAGCUGUCAAAAACCCUGGCAUGCUUUGGCUACUAAAAUCAAGAGUAACAAAACCUCCUCAAGACCUUUGAAAUCACUGUUAAGAAGCCCGAGGCCGAGAUUAAAAACAAGAACGUCAACAUCUACUUCCUUCAAGAGUGCCUCUUUCAUUCUGAGUAGUGGUGAUGACGCAAUGGCUUCCUCUCCUCUGCCUUCCCUCCACUGGAUUGGCCUUCGGAUGAAUCCAUGCCAGUGAGCUCUGACGUUGAGGAUUCGGAGGUGACGCUUGUCAAAAAUAAUUGAGGGUUUGGAGAUGAAAGUGGUUUGUAUAUGUUAGGGAAUGUAUUGUUAGUCUUUUUCGUAUUCUUUUGAAUCUUGGAAAAAGAUGAUGGAGAGCAUAUCAUGUGGUGAUAUAAAGAUUGAAAUUCUUCAAAGUGGUUCCCUUUUUUUAAUAUGCAAUUACUAAGUUAAUUUGUGUGGGUUUUCUUUGAAGCUUCUUUGUAUUCAUAUUUUUGAAAUUAUAUUUUUUUGAAAUUAUUUUGGAGUUUCAUCAAAUAGUUGGUGUGUGAGAUGGAAUUCGCCAAUCAAGACCUCCACGCUGUGGCCAGCUCAAUCCACUCAGACAUUCUUCGCCACGAUUUUUUUGCCUUUAAGUCUUAUGUUUGCUUUAUCAUGUUCUCCAAUUUCCAUCCUCGUGAUUUCGGCCUUUGUGGGCAGCAAGAUCGUCUAUCCUAGGAUUGGUGAUGCCUUUGACAAAUUCUCCUCAUCAAUGCAUUGGAGCUGGAAUCAACUCCUCGAUCGGAGCUCCAACAUGUCUAGGCUUAUCAGAGUAAAAUAUCUCGGUGUGGUUCAUCUGAAGAUAACCUAAAAAAAUAUCUCUUAUGAGACAGAUGACUAGGGAGAAUGUUUUGUUCAUGUGAGGUAUGAGAUUAGAGAGAAGAAGAGCUCAAGGCAAGUACUACUUUCUUUCAAAUUUUUUUUAUUUGUUUAUUUUUAAUUUUUUUCUAUUAAAUUUUGGUUCAAGAUUUGAUUUUGUUGAUUUUUUUUUCAUAUGUAUUAUUAGAUUGGAGAGAAGAAAGCUCAUAUAAUUUUUUUUCCAUUUAAAUAUAUUUGCUUGAAGUUUGAUUUAAGAUUUGAGGUUGUUGUUUUUUAGGUUUUGCUUUUAAAUGUAGAGGAGAAUAAGAUUGGCAUUUAUUUGUGGGGGAGGGAAGCUAUGUGUGGAGAGGGAUUCAUAUUUUAUUUGAUUAGAAAUUAGCUUUGCAGUAUUUUUUUAUUCAAUAUUUUGUCAAUUAUCGCAAUGUUGGAAUUCUCUCUUCUAAUGCACGUGUAAAACUUUGACAUCUUGCAAUAAACCUUUUUUUUUGCA